rnacentral:rRNA from 1 species
UGGGGAAUUUUGGACAAUGGGGGGAAACCCUGAUCCAGCCAUCCCGCGUGUGCGAUGAAGGCCUUCGGGUUGUAAAGCACUUUUGGCAGGAAAGAAACGUCGCGGGUUAAUACCCCGCGAAACUGACGGUACCUGCAGAAUAAGCACCGGCUAACUACGUGCCAGCAGCCGCGGUAAUACGUAGGGUGCAAGCGUUAAUCGGAAUUACUGGGCGUAAAGCGUGCGCAGGCGGUUCGGAAAGAAAGAUGUGAAAUCCCAGAGCUUAACUUUGGAACUGCAUUUUUAACUACCGGGCUAGAGUGUGUCAGAGGGAGGUGGAAUUCCGCGUGUAGCAUGAAAUGCGUAGAUAUGCGGAGGAACACCCGAUGGGCGAAGGCAGCCUCCUGGGAUAACACUGACGCUCAUGCACGAAAAGCGUGGGGAGCAAACAGGAUUAGAUACCCUGGUAGUCCACGCCCUAAACGAUGUCAACUAGCUGUUGGGGCCUUCGGGCCUUGGUAGCGCAGCUAACGCGUGAAGUUGACCGCCUGGGGAGUACGGUC